rnacentral:lncRNA from 1 species
AGGUGAAGGGAACAGAACAGCUUGCACCCCAGGUGAGAAUUAAACACUGAGCAACUGCAUGAAAGGAUGGGAUGGAGCCUGCUGCUUUCGGGGAAGAAAAAUGGGCCCCUGGGCAGUGAGUAUCACAGGCUGGCUCCUCCAGAUGGAAGAAGAUGGAAAAAAAAGGGAGGACAGGGAGAGCAAAAGAAAAACCUGUUCUGUCUACUUGUAGUUAGAUAAGCGGCUUCUCCUUUGGCAGGUUUAGUUUGUGAUAUUUCCUGAGGCGUCUCUUCAGAAAGGAAGCCAAAUUCCUGAAAACGGGGCCGUGAGACUGAGCACCUCAUCUCUCUGUGUGCGGGGCUGAGGUAUUUGUAAUUCAGAAGCAGCAUAUACCUCAUUCCUCAGGAGUCCUUCCCUUCACUUCAGGGUAGGCAUAGAUUACAUAUAGUGUUUGAUCAGGUUUUAUUUUAAGUCGAGCCUUGAAGUCUCUGAUGUUCCAUAAAGGGACAGGCCUGCUGACGGUGCUGUCUGAAGGACAGCCACUAUGCAAACACAAGUGUGCUGCCCACAGCCAGAUCCCUUAAUAGCUUUCCACCGCUGUUUUAUUUUCCCCACUUCUACCUCUCAGGCACUUUAGAGCAAUCUUUCCCUCAUCCUGUAUCUUUCUGCUACUCAGUCAAUCAGGAUAGGAUGGACAAAAGGACCCUUGCUCCCUUAUACCUCUGGUGAAUUAGCUGUGCUGCUUCAAGUACCCAUUCCUUCCACCUUCCCCUCACGAAGGGAAGCAUUAAGGGACUUCAUCAGUUCAAUGCCUAUUUACAGCUAAUUUACAAAAUAUGGAACAGUUGUGUUAAAGAAGACAAAAGAUGAAAACAUGAGAAUGCUCAGGAAUUGGAACAAAGACAGCUUUUUAAUUGACUCUUUAUAGCACUUUAAACCACCUGGAUGUGUUUCCAGGCAACAAGUUGCCUAACUAUAUGUGACCAGCAAGGAUGCCUGCCCUCUGUAGCUGUGCUUAAAAGGAUCCAUGAUGCCUGCAGUCAUUUUCAAAAGGCCUGGAAGGGAGAACAAAGCAGUUCCAGGCAUGGACUAAGACAUCAACUGCUAAGGCAGUUUCUG